UGAGCUCUGUGCCCGAUGUGGGGCUCGAACUCAGGACCUGGAGAUGAUCAGGAGUCGCAUGUUCUACCAAAUGAGCCAGCUUGGCACCCCUAAUUUAUAUCUUAUUUGGUCCUCUUAACACCUUAUGAGAUGGCUCUUAUUUUAGUUUUCAUGGGCUUAGGGAGAGUUAAAGCUACUGGCUUAAGGGCAAGCAAUAGUGCCAGGAUUAAAAAAUAAUAAUCGUGAAUAUAUUCUUCACCCCCAAAAGUUGUCUUGUACCUUCUCUCCCCUUCCCAGGUGCUGGACUGCGGUCAGUACAGUUUGGUUUGCUUUUAGUUUACAUGAGUGGAAUGUUAAUGUGAUUUUGUAAGAAUCACAUCUUUUGGCAGCAAAUAUUAACUGAGCACCUCCUUUGCGCCGGGAGCCUUUGCUCACACAGCACAGGCCGGGCUAGCCUGUGGCCCAGGGACAGCCCGAGUCGUAGAUGGGAGAGCCACCACUGUGGUGUCAGCCGAUUGCUGCGGUUAGAGAGACGCCAGGGUUCCCUGUUAGCAGUGGGAGGUGUGUCUAUCCAGACUCAAAGACAUUCUUACAGCCUGGACACCUAGGCACAUCACCCGCAGCCCUGGUCUGAGGCCCCCACCUCCACUCCACAGAGCGGAUCUCCCACCGCCCGGCACUGUUUUUGGCACAGUCCAGACCCCAUGAUGAUUCGAACUUCACAAAGGACCAGGAGGGUAAAGACACAGAGUCCCUGAGGAGCAUGCUGCUGGGCUGGAGAGACAGGAGUCUAGACGGUGCUGACCCUAGGGUGAAUCUGAGUUGGGGGGGGGGGGACCCGCAACCGGAAGCAGCUAACUCUGUGAGGGUUUAAGAAUAAAAUGCAAGAAAAACAAGAAGAAACGGCUCAUUAAUCACCUAAAAUAAGUGUAGUCUUAGGUUUCUUUGCAGGGAAGAGGAUGUCUGGCGUGAGUUUUUAAAGCUAAAUGGGAGUUUCUCAGGCUGUUGGGUGGCAGUGGGGACAGGAAAAGGGAGCAGGUGCAAAGACCUGGAGGGCUGAAAGAAUGUGGCCCGUUCUGGAAACAGUGAGUUCCAUGUGUUUGUUAGUUACAGCGACAGAAAGGCAGUAGCCACUUCAACAACAUAGAAGCUUCUCUCCCCACCCUCCCCGCCUUCCUUCUCAUGGGAAAGUCCAGAGGGAGGCAGUCACCGCUAACUUGGUGGCUCAGCUCCAUGAAUUCCUCAGGGACCCAGGCUCUUUCCAGCUCACCACACAUCCCUGGAAUGCAGGUUUUGACCUCUUGGCCCAAGAUGGCAGUUAGAGUCCCGGCCAUCACACCCACAUUCCAGGCAGUGGCAUGGAGGAAGAGGUGAAGAAAAAAGGGGGGGAAUAUACAUGCCAGUGUGCCGAAGCAAGGCUUUCAGAAGCUGACAGGUGACACUGUUUAUAACCUGUUGGCCAGAACGUGGUUUGUAACCACCCUAGUCACAAGGACAGCCAAGAGAUUAUUCUGGGUGGCUGCAUACCCAGCUAAAACUCAGGGGUUCAAAUGCCAAGGAAGAAGGGGAAGGAGGUAUCAAGGGACAACCAGAGGUCUCUCUCUCUCCUUUGGCAUGGCUGGAUCCAGCUGUGGGGUCGGGGGACUAGAGAGGCGGGGAAGGUGGACCCCUGCCCCACGGGCGAGGGGCUGGCCCCAAGUGUUAAGCAAGAGAGCGAACCGCUCAGACCUAUUCUGGGGGGCAGUGACGUCAGCAGUGUGAGGGCUGUGUUAGUGUGGGGACGGGCAGGGGGUAUCCUGUGUGUCUGCUCAGAUGACUGAUGAGGCUCCCUUCUAGUGGCUCUUAGCCUUUCAUAGAGGGAAACAAACCCCAUCUUUCUCAGAACCACCCCUUCCACACUCCUCCUCCCUCCCAGAGAGGGUGGCCUGGAUGCAGAGGGAGCGAGGGAUGAAGGGGCCAGCCUUCUGCUGGCCUGGGGCCCGUGCUGGCACCUGCUGGGGUCUGCCGGCCUCCAGGAUCCGGGCCUGGCUUGCACCCCCUCCCACCCUUGGCUGAGGUGGCACCGUGGCCACCACAGAUGUCUCUGUGGCUGACGGCUGGCUUUUAACCCUGGGACUCGUCCUGCAGGACCCACUCGGAGGGGCCUUGGAGAGCUCUGUGUCCAGGCUACCCCUGGCCAUCGUGCUGGCCAUCGUGUCCACUCUGAUGUGGCUCAGUCCAAGGGGUUUCCUCCACAGUCCCAAUGGCAAGAGAACGCCACCCCUGGUUCCCCUCUCCACUUAUCCAGAAGCCCAGGUGGGGACAUGCAAUGUCGUCACUUGCUUUCCCACGAAUCCCAGGUGCAGGAUUCCGCCCCGCCCUCCUUCUUCUUGUCUGGAUUGUUUUUCUCAUCACAAACACUAUGGCCCAGUGUCGUUCUCCAAGCCUGGACCUUGGUCAGUUACAGCGGAAGGUGCUGGCAUUAAGUUCAUUCCUUUUCAAGAUGGCACAGUUAUGUGGUUGGAUGCUAGACAUCCUCCCCGUCUCCUCUUCCUCUUUGCAUGGCCUUUCCCAGGACGUAGCUCAGAACUGCAGAAGAGCAGAGCAUAUGAAUAACGAAGCAGUUCCCUCCACCUCCCA